rnacentral:rRNA from 1 species
GAUGAACGCUGGCGGCGUGCCUAAUACAUGCAAGUCGAGCGAACGGACGAGAAGCUUGCUUCUCUGAUGUUAGCGGCGGACGGGUGAGUAACACGUGGAUAACCUACCUAUAAGACUGGGAUAACUUCGGGAAACCGGAGCUACUACCGGAUAAUAUUUUGAACCGCAUGGUUCAAAAGUAUAAGACGGUCUUGCUGUCACUUAUAGAUGGAUCCGCGCUGCAUUAGCUAGUUGGUAAGGUAACGGCUUACCAAGGCAACGAUGCAUAGCCGACCUGAGAGGGUGAUCGGCCACACUGGAACUGAGACACGGUCCAGACUCCUACGGGAGGCAGCAGUAGGGAGUCUUCCGCAAUGGGCGAAAGCCUGACGGAGCAACGCCGCGUGAGUGAUGAAGGUCUUCGGAUCGUAAAACUCUGUUAUUAGGGAAGAACAUAUGUGUAAGUAACUGUGCACAUCUUGACGGUACCUAAUCAGAAAGCCACGGCUAACUACGUG